AUGGGGGAUGGGGUCGUCGGGCUCAUGGCCGAGCUCGACAAGGUGGAGCUCGUGCGCUCCCACGACGAUCCCGAGCGCAACCCUGGCUUCUGCUUCCUCUACUACGCGGACGCCGAGGCAACAGCGGAGCGUGCUGCAUUUCAGCUGCUGCAGGGAGGGGGCUGCUUCUCCCCGGUGUCGGAGCUCGUCGGGCGGGCAGAGGCCGCCGCAUCGGCGGCCGCCUCGGAGAUCUCCGAGACGUCCUCCGCCGCCGCCGACGCGCUCAGCUCCGUCGUCGCGGCCGUGGUGCGCGCGCCGCCCAAGGACUUCCGCGUCAUCAGGCAGGAGUGGGCGGCCAUCCGCAUCCAGACCACCUUCCGCGGCUUCUUGGCAGCAAACGGGACAGUGUGGAAACAAGGGCAGAGGAAGAACGCCCUGGAGGUGAUGCAGGUGUCGGAGCAGCAGCGAGCAACAGACCUUUUCUCGCAGAAGGUGAAGAGGUCGUCGUUCAGCACGUCGGACAAGGUGGAGGCACUCUUCCUGAAGCACUUCGCGCUCCUCGACCUCGACCUCGAGCUGGCACAGGGGCAAGCUGGCGCAGAUGACAACGGCCGUGCUCCUCGACCUCGAGCUCCGCCCCCGUCCGCCCACGCUCCUCGAGCUCGAGCUCUGCCCCCGCCCGCCCCUGGCCGCUGGUACUUCCCCUGCCCCCCCUCUCAUCGUGCUGCUUGA
rnacentral:rRNA from 1 species